ACUCCUACGGGAGGCAGCAGUGGGGAAUAUUGCACAAUGGGCGCAAGCCUGAUGCAGCAACGCCGCGUGAGUGAAGAAGGCCUUCGGGUCGUAAAGCUCUGUCCUGUGGGACGAAACAAAUGACGGUACCACAGGAGGAAGCCCCGGCUAACUACGUGCCAGCAGCCGCGGUAAUACGUAGGGGGCAAGCGUUAUCCGGAAUCACUGGGCGUAAAGGGUGCGUAGAUGGCCUAUCAAGUCAGAAGUGAAAGGCAGUGGCUUAACCACUGUAAGCUUUUGAAACUGAUGGGCUUGAGUGCAGGAGAGGUAAGUGGAAUUCCUAGUGUAGCGGUGAAAUGCGUAGAUAUUAGGAGGAACACCAGUGGCGAAGGCGACUUACUGGACUGUAACUGACACUGAGGCACGAAAGCGUGGGGAGCGAACAGGAUUAGAUACCCUGGUAGUC
rnacentral:rRNA from 1 species